AUUGCGUUCAGGUGACGCGUGUUGCGUUCAGGUGAAGGUAACGUGUCUGUAUUGCGUUCAGGUGACGCGUGUUGCGUUCAGGUGAAGGUAACGUGUCUGUAUUGCGUUCAGGUGACGCGUGUUGCGUUCAGGUGAAGGUAACGUGUCUGUAUUGCGUUCAGGUGACGCGUGUUGCGUUCAGGUGAAGGUAACGUGUCUGUAUUGCGUUCAGGUGACGCGUGUUGCGUUCAGGUGAAGGUAACAUGUCUGUAUUGCGUUCAGGUGAAGCGUGUUGCGUUCAGGUGAAGGUAACGUGUCUGUAUUGCGUUCAGGUGACGCGUGUUGCGUUCAGGUGAAGGUGACGUGUCUGUAUUGCGUUCAGGUGAAGCGUGUUGCGUUCAGGUGAAGGUAACAUAUCUAUAUUGCGUUCAGGUGACGCAUGUUGCGUUCAGGUAAAGGUAACGUGUCUGUAUUGCGUUCAGGUGAAGGUAACGUGUCUGUAUUGCGUUCAGGUGACACAUGUUGCGUUCAGGUGAAGGUAACGUGUCUGUAUUGCGUUCAGGUGAAGCGUGUUGCAUUCAGGUGAAGGUGAUGUGUCUGUAUUGCGUUCAGGUGAAGUUGAUGUGUCUGUAUUGCGUUCAGGUGACGCGUGUUGCGUUCAG